rnacentral:rRNA from 1 species
CGCGUAGGUGGCUUGGUAAGCGUGUGGUGAAAGCUCGGGGCUCAACCCCGAGUCGGCCAUGCGAACUGCCGAGCUUGAGCACUGUAGAGGCAGACGGAAUUCCGGGUGUAGCGGUGGAAUGCGUAGAGAUCCGGAAGAACACCAGUGGCGAAGGCGGUCUGCUGGGCAGUUGCUGACACUGAGGCGCGACAGCGUGGGGAGCAAACAGGAUUAGAUACCCUGGUAGUCCACGCCGUAAACGAUGGGUACUAGGUGCUUGGGGGAGCGACCCCCUGAGUGCCGGCGCUAACGCAUUAAGUACCCCGCCUGGGGAGUACGGCCGCAAGGCUGAA